GAUGAACGCUGGCGGCGUGCCUAAUACAUGCAAGUCGAGCGAACAGAUGAGGAGCUUGCUCCUCUGACGUUAGCGGCGGACGGGUGAGUAACACGUGGAUAACCUACCUAUAAGACUGGGAUAACUUCGGGAAACCGGAGCUAAUACCGGAUAAUAUAUUGAACCGCAUGGUUCAAUAGUGAAAGACGGUUUUGCUGUCACUUAUAGAUGGAUCCGCGCCGCAUUAGCUAGUUGGUAAGGUAACGGCUCACCAAGGCAACGAUGCGUAGCCGAGCUGAGAGGGUGAUCGGCCACACUGGAACUGAGACACGGUCCAGACUCCUACGGGAGGCAGCAGUGGGGAAUCUUCGGCAAAGGGCGAAAGCCUGACGGAGCAACGCCGCGUGAGUGAUGAAGGUCUUCGGAUCGUAAAACUCUUUUAUUGGGAAAGAAAAAAAGUAUAAGAAUAUAUCGCUGUUUUGACGGUACCUAAAGAAAAAGCCCCGGCUAACUACGUG
rnacentral:rRNA from 1 species